GCCGCCCCCUAAUGGCGGUGAACUGCAACCCUGAUGCGUCCGGGCGGACGCUUCUUGCAUGGCGGCAAUGUUGUGCGUUCCUGCCGUUCCAUGCCCGGUGACGCUAUGUAGCAUAACAGCGCACACCCCCGGGCUUUGAUGUCUUUGUGCCGAUAAGCCCGGGGAUGCUAUACAGGGUUCUUUAAGGAAACGGAGAUGAA
rnacentral:sRNA from 12 species